ensembl:lncRNA
CACCGUUCGCUAAAGACGGCUCAUUUGGAUGAAAACAAUGUGGUAGCUGUUUCUCUAGAUUACUACACUCAAUUGUGUCGCAACGAUGUUUCACUGAUCUAUUGAACCGCAAACUCAGAAUCUGCGUUUGCAGAUUUAUUUCCAUUUAUUUCCAACUUUAUGGAAGUUCCUUUCCGUUUAUAUACUUUACUCACAGGUGUGUGAAUUGACUUGGAUAUGAAGCGUUUGUAACGCAAAAUAAUAUAACAUUCGUUUUUUAAAGUUAAGAAGGAGCUCUCCUCUCUGCUUGUAUGCUUUACUCACAAGUGUGUGAAUUGAACUGGAUAUGAAGCGCAUAUCCAGCGUCCGUAGCGCAGGGAAUGUUGUAUUAUUUUGCGUAGCGCAAAAUAAUAUGACAUUCCUAAUUUAAAGAGGUAAGCUGAAGCUCUCCUCUCCCCUUGUUAAAAGAAAUUCAGCAGCGGCGGUCAUAUUUCAGCAGCGGCCGCUGCUAGGUGCAUGUAGGGGAAACACUGAUUUUAAAACAGAAUAAAGUGCAAUCUGCAUUAUUUCUUCUUUUUAACAUGGAUGGUAAAUUAAAAAAAUUAAAAACUGUGUCCAAAGGAAGAACAGGAGACCUGGAUUUACAACUUUAAAUAUUUUUUUUUUAAGUAUCGUAGCGAAAUACAAUUUCUGUCAUGUUUUAUUAUGCAUUUUGUAAAUCCAUUGAUUUCUGUUGGACAACUCAUUGUUCGUUGACCGGAAACGGAAAGAGGGACUGGUUGUAGUCUUUUCGCUCGGUUCUAGCUAGGGAUGUUAAACGACUCGUUUUCUGUGAGUCGACGUGUAGGAGGCAUAAAUCGAAAAAUCGAUCGAUUUCUUCUCUUUUUUUCGGCCCGCGUCUGCAGCAGUUGCAGAGCUCAAAGGAUCUGCGCAUUCCUUUAAGACAGCGGCCCAGUUGGCCCACCCGUCCUAUUUCAAAGGUUGCUAUCAGGAGCACACCAAUAAUGCAUUUUUUUUAUGAAGUUAAGUUGAUAUAAAAAUGAUGAUAAACAAAAUAUCAAAGAGCAGGAUUGUGAACCUGUAAAUUCCCAAUAGGCAAAAUGUGUCGGCGUUGUUUUAAUUAGGAACGGCAGUUGAUAAUGCGCGCCUCCUAUUUGCAACGAAAUUGUUUAAGUCGGACAUAAAACCAUUUAAUUUAACAGAGGCUACACCCACUAAAACAGAUAUUUUCGUUCUUAAAUAAAUAUUUGUAAACGAAAAUUCACGUACGACUCAGUCGUCAAAGCUGUCCAGGCAUCAGUGGUGAUAGCAACUUUGUAAGCUGAGGACAGGAUCUCGCGGAGGGAGGCUGCUGCUUCGCGGUACAUUUUCUCCAGCCUCACAGUCAUCGUUUGGCGACAUGGCACUGUGUAGGUUGGCUCGAGAAAUGAAAUCAGAUUGCGUAACUCAGUCCCCUCUACUACGCUCAUGGGCAGCAUAUCUCCAGCAUACCUAGACGUCUCAUCAGCGCUGUCUACUGUAGCCGGACCCCCGGUCAUCUUAGCUAGCAACCCGCUGAUUCUUUCAGCCCGGCGGCUAUCACAGGAUCUCACCGUAAAGUUUGCGAUGCUGCCUUGCUGGCUGGAAGGCUUGGGAUGCCUCCUUGCCAGGUGAUUCAACAUCACGGUUGUGGACGAAUGGUACGCAAAAUGAGGCAUAAUUUACACUGAACUGUUCUGUCAUCAAUCUUCAUGAAACUAUCCCACACCGGACUUUUAAGUGAAGAUGCCAUUGUCAUGAAAGGACAAAGGAAGAGAUCGCUCUUGGGAGACGUAGCGGUGUAGCAGAACAGAAGUGACCGUUAGAAAAACAACACAGCUACGUCUCCCAUUUGGAAAAAAAGAGAAGGAUUUAUUGUAUUUUGAUAAUUUUUUAAUUGGUUAUUUUGAAAGCAGAAAUGGGUAAAAAAGUAAAAAAAAAACCGAUUAAUCGAUUUCUAUUUUUAGAGUCGUUUAGAGCACGAGUCGAGAAUCGACCGUUGAGUCGACACAUUCUUCACAUCCCUAGUUCUAGCCAUACUGUUGAUGCGGAGAACCGAGCGACCAAGACUGCAACCAAACAUAAACAGUCCCCUUUCCGUUUCAAUGGGAUUUACGAACUGCCAGAUAAAACACAACAGAAACUGUAUAUCGCUACGAUACUUGAUUAGGCACAUCAACAAACAACACACAUUUGAGUGUGUUGUUUGAGUUGCACAUUUCUGAAAACAAACGUUUAGGGUUGUUUUAAGGACAGGUUUGUGAAGGCCCAUAGCCAGCCAUUCUGAAGCAGGCAGGGGCGAUUCUAAACGAGCAAAAUACCCGAGACAGGACCAAUAGUCAAUAUCUCGGUAUCAAUCACUAUAUUUCAUCCUAGACGAACCAGGGGGCUCAAUGUGCUAAAUACCGGAAUUGUAUUUUCAAUAUGUGCCUAUCACGUGAACACACAAUUCUUUAUUUUUUCAUAGUCAGCCGAUCCACGGAUCACUUGCUUACCGAACCGUGAGGGUUGAUCCGUGAUCCGUUCCACCACUAGUUGUCACUGAGACAGUAAUGUCAAAGAAAUAGCUUUUGUUGAACCUCGGUAUAGCAUGCAAUAACCAGCCUGCAUUUCAGCGGGCCUCAUUCUCCCAGUGAUUUCUUUGUAUUUCUUGACCUUAUUCACAAAUCCCUGGAUUUUCAAUAUAAUGUCUCUAAACGGCGUCAACAAAGUGUUGACAAUAUAGUUACAGUCAUAGUACUUUAAUGUCAACAUGGCUCCUAAAAUAUGAAGCAGAGGGUUUCUUGUAACCUAGACGUCUCAUCAGCGCUGUCUACUGUAGCCGGACCCCCCGGUCUGAGCUGGUGAGAGAAGCCGUAAAUGGCACAAGUUUCAUGGGCACUGACGUAACAAAGAGUCGGUGGUGUGUUGCGCGAAUAGAGAAUACGCUUUGUAUAUGCUUCCUUUGCAUAUUGAUUGUUUAAUAUAUUGUAGUUUUCGCUGAAUUAAUUUGUCUCUAUGAUUCAGUUCCAACUUGUUUCUGCAUGUGCAAAACUAGCUAUAAAAAAGUGACAAUAGGACAUCGCCAUCUUGGUUGACUACUUAGAAUCAUAACGUACCAGACCUUCAGCCUUUAAAGUGUCGAUGCUCAACGCGCUUGUAUUUCUGUAUAAAAUGCUUGUGCCACCUCACAGGAAGCAAAUAGAAGGCUACAAAUAUGACCCUAACCCUAAUUCUCUUUUAAUCCUAAUUGGCCUUACAAAUAUGCCUGUACCCUCAACCCCUCAGAACUGGUCACUUCCUUGAGAAACAUGUCAGAGUCCUCUAAAACAUUCAACCUUAACUCGAGCUAAUUCAAGCAAAUUUUGUCAACAUAUUGAUUCGACCCGUAAAAAUACAUUAACCACUUAGUCUGUGAAGAACAAUGAAAAGAUCUGUGCUACCAAAGCUUGCCUCCUCAAACCAACUGACACUAGUGCUAGCAUAUCCGCAGAUUCAAGACAAGAAUCUAUUCUCGACUUUGUGGCUGUGUUCGCAGUCAGAAAAGCUAAGAAAGCUACGCCCGUUUCUAGUGAAGCAUUGCGAAAAGGGACAGCGUCGCAAGAAAUUAGAGCAGCCUCCGCCAAACCCUCCAGCCCAGUGUGUUCAAUAUAUGCCGUUCUACAGUAGAUCGUUAGAAACAACUACAUCGCUGAGCUGUAGGCAUGUGAUAUUCCAAACGACGAUAGAUUCUUAAGUAACUAAUGCUGUAAAUUGUACAGCAUUAGGAACCCUCUAACCUAGUGCAUUAUUUAAAAUAUUAAGGUUUACAUUAAGAAUUGACCCUAAAGCAGUUACAUAUGUAUUUUUUAUCAAACAUGACUAACAGUCAGGCUAACAUUAUAUCGUUUUUGUACAGAAGUCAAAUAAGUACUGUAGGUGAAGGGAAUGUAAUGAAAGGACAUGACAAAAUCAGAUCAGCAGCUAAAUGAUAAAAUCAUUUGGGAUAGAGAGAGAACCUGGAAUAGGUUAUCAAAAUCCCAUAUAUGAACCAUUUACACAAAUAUUCAGUGUAUUAUAAACAACUUUAUAUUUGAACCAGGCAGCCAGUGUAAAUAAUAAUGUGAGAGCUGCUUGUGAUGCUAAAUUUACUUUGUGUGCCUAUGACAAAUGUGCAACAGCACCAUCAAUUCCACAGCAUGGACCGUUUUCGCAGCAUUGGCUGUGCUUGCGCGAAUACACAAGUUUGACUGCGCGAAUACACAAGUUUGAAUUUCUAAACACUCGUCAGGUCUAGGUCUGUAGGGUGACGUCAGGUCUAUGUCUGCAGAGUGACGUCAGGUCUAGGUCUAUAGGGUGACGUCAGGUCUAGGUCUGUAGGGUGACGUCAGGUCUAGAUCUGCAGAGUGACGUUAGGGAGGAAUGGUAGCUCAUGGAUAGAGCUACGAGCUGCAACCCUCUGCAACGCAUCGUCCGCGACCCGCGAAAUUUAAAAAGAGCCACGAGCUGCAGCCCGCUGCAUCGCAUCAUCCGCGACCCGCGAAAUUUAUAGAGCCACGAGCUGCAACCGGCUGCAACGCAUCGUCCGCGACCCGCAAAAUUUAAAGAGCCACAAGCUGCAACCGGCUGCAACGCAUCAUUCGCGACCCGCGAAAUUUAAAGAGCCAUGAGCUGCAACCGGCUUCAACGCAUCAUCGUCAUCUAAGCAAAUAUGGCUGAAAGCGAAACGGAGGAGCUGGUGAUUGCGCUCAUUUCAUGUUCAUUUUAAAAUUGUAUGCGUUCACUUUGCACUUUUAUGUUUUAAUAUCAAGUAUCUGUGCACACACUUGGAAGAUUUUUCUUUAUUUAAAAUAGCCAUGCCUAAUACUGGACGUAUUUCCCUAAUUCACAGUAUCGGUUUCUUUAUUAACAAGAACACCACCAGUUGUAAUUUAAUUAAGAGAAGUAUACGUCAUUACACAGAAGAUUUUUUUCUUUGUUAAAGUCUCUGCAGCUACAACAUUAUGUUGUAUGAUUACAGUUUUGCACAAUAAAUGUUCUCAAAACGACAUACUAAGUUUCUUUCUAUUGUUUUAUACAUUUAGCAGUUUGGCUUUCCUUAGAGUCUAUGUAACCUGUUCUGAAAUGGUUCUAUUAUGAUUUAUAUAUCUUGAUAUAUAUAUCGUCAUCGCAAUAGGUUGCAAUGUAUAUCGCAAUAUGGAUUUUAGGCCAUAUCGCCCAUCCCUAACAUCAGGUCUAGGUCUAUAGGGUGACGUCAGGUCUAGGUCUGUAGGGUGACGUCAGGUCUAGGUCUGUAGGGUGACGUCAGGUCUAGGUCUAUAGGGUGACGUCAGGUCUAGGUCUGUAGGGUGACGUCAGGUCUAGGUCUGUAGGGUGACGUCAGUUCUAGGUCUGUAGGGUGACGUCAGGUCUAGGUCUAUAGGGUGACGUCAGGUCUAGGUCUGUAGGGUGACGUCAGGUCUAGGUCUAUAGGGUGACGUCAGGUCUAGGUCUGUAGGGUGACGUCAGGUCUAGGUCUGUAGGGUGACGUCAGUUCUAGGUCUGUAGGGUGACGUCAGGUCUAGGUCUGGAGAGUGACUUCAGGUCUAGGUCUGUAGGGUGACGUCAGGUCUUGAUCUGGAGAGUGACAUCAGGUCUAGGUCUGCAGAGUGACAUCAGGUCUAGUUCUGUAGGGUGACGUCAGGUCUAGGUCUGCAGAGUGACGUCAGGUCUAGGUCUGCAGGGUGACGUCAGGUCUAGGUCUGUAGGGUGACGUCUAGGUCUGUAGGUUGACAUCCUGUCUAUGUCUGUUGGGGGACAUCCGGUCUACGUCUGUUGGGUGACGUCACUCAGGUCUAGGUCUGUAGGGAUUAACCGGUUUCAUUAUUAACCUUAAAGGCUUAGCUACACCAAGUGUUUCUGGUCUCAUUCUCAUUGACAUUCGUACAUUAUUUUUCUAUGAGGAACGGUUGUACGGGUGUAACGAUACACGUAUUUGUACCGAACGGUCACGGUACAGGCGCUUUGGUGUGGUUACACAGGUUUACCGCGGUGCGUAAAUGUGGCGUUCAUAGCGUUAAUAUGGCAAAUGUAAAGGCUUGUUUUGCAAUGCGGAAGUUGGAGUUCCCCCCGGACCAUUUAGCCAAAGUAUUCUACUCCAACUCCGUAACUACGGAGACCCCUCAGCAGCUCUCCGUUGGGAUGUCGGAUACGCAAUGCAAUUCGCCGCCCGAUCGAUCUUAUAUGUUGACUACAAACCAUGUAAGCAGUGUAAACUUCCGAUGCUUUUCAAAUCUUAUUUGGUGUUUUAUUGCUCCCUACGGUGCAAAGUAAACCAUGCACAAAGAAAUGAAGGUGCAAAGUCAAACCGGAGAAUUGAUUCCGGAAAUUAUUUUGUUAGAGGACCAAUCACAGCCCUUGCCGUCUCUGUUGUGUCGACCAAUAGGUCCUUGUUGUCAACGGAUAGUUAAAAAAUAUUGGAUGCGCACGUAAGCUACGGAGAGGGUCUCCGACAGGCUCUCCGGCUACGGAGAGGGCUUGGUGUCUACUAACAGUCACUUUAUCAUGCACACGUAUUUUAAAAGGCACCAUCCAGUUGUUACUAUCACUGUUGCUGUGAAAAAAACUACCUGUGCAAACCCAGCUCACAACACUAUUUCAAUAACCCCUUUCUCGGAAUUCAGAAAUGCAAAUGCCAUUAUCAAGUUUAUGGGUGUUUUCAUUGCAGCUGAUAUACGGCCAUUCUCCGUUGUUGACAAACAAGCAGUUUUUAGGGGCCCAAGCCAACAGGUUGUUGGAUCCCUGGGUCCAAGCCAACAGGUUGCCAACAGGUUGGAUCCCUAUUGUUUUUGUAAGGAUUAUUAUUAUUAUUUCGUACGCCUUAGAAGUGGUACCACAGCCCAAACCGUAAAUGGUGCACACGCGCCAAUUGCAUGACUAGAUCCAGAAUCGGCACCGCUACUCGGAUAACAAAAUCCAGACACGCCGGUCCCUAGGUGGCGCUAUACCAAGGAAUACGCGUUUGGGGCUAUAACUCCCACAUCGAACCUCCCACAGUCCAAAAACUUGUACACACAGAUGCACUGGAGUCUGCUGCAUCUUUUGGCCUAGGCCACGCCCAUUUGCGUCGAUGAAUAUUUUUCGCUAAAUCGCGAAAACCGCAAAACUGUUUUUUCCCUACUCCUCCCACAUUUCUUGACCAAUCGACACCAAACUUUGCACACGACAUCUUCAGACGCACACGCAAAGAAAUCGUCGGACAGUUUUUUGAUCCGACCUUCGACGACGAAACGGUAGCGUUUUGAAUAUUGGUUUAUGAGCAAAAUUAGACGUGGAAAAUCCAAAAUCCAAAAAAAUCAAAAAUUAGACAUCGGAUCGGGUCCAAAUUGUACACACAUGUUGGUGCUAACCUUAAUGUCAUUCGAUAACAAUUUCGGAAAAUUUCGACAUUAGGGGGCGCAAUAAACGAGGAAAUUGUAUAUCUUCUACAAAAUUUCGCCACGAGAACGCUACACUGACUUCUCGCUACUCCUACCACAGUCAAAUCCUUUGUAUCCAGAGGUUCAGGGUAGCGUUUUGAACACAUGCUUCGCGUUGUGCCGGCGAAACGCACAUUUCUUGUCGCGUUGUGCCGGCGAAAUGCACACUUCUUGUACCCCUGCAUAACUGCUUGCAGUUCUAGUUUUUAAAUGUUCCCCUUAACUAUGAACCCUACCGUCCUGUUACGUACCGUGACUUCAAAACCAAGGUACGUACCCUAACGUGACUUUUGUGUACUGUUACACCCCCAAUUGCACAGUGAGGAAGUUUAAACACACAGAAGAUUGCUGAAGCAACCUGCAGACUGCAAAUGGAACGAAAACGAUUCCUCCCUUGUUUGUGUUAGGGGUGCUUACUUAGAUUAGCUAAACAAUUGCUGAGGGCAAGGCGAGGCAACUUUAUUUGUGUAAAACUUCUCAUACACAAGGCAGACUCAAAGUGCUUCACAUAUAAACAUUGUCAUACAAUAAAAUUAAUUAAAAAUUAAUUAAUAGAAAAGAAAACGUGCAAUUUUUUUAAUCAAAAUAGAAAAUAAAGGCAAUGUAGAAAAAAUAGAGCAUUUUACAAAGUGCAAUGUAUUUAAAAAGUAGAAAAUAAAGGUAAGGUUAAAAAGGCCUAUUUUUUGCGAUGUACCGUAAUUUUUGGACUAUAAGCCGCGCCUUUUUUCCCAUUUUGCGAUUCUGCAGCUUAUAUAACGGUGCGGCUAAUCUUUGAAUUUUAUAGCUAACGGCCACCAGGGGGCCUCCUAAAUCUAUGGAUUUUUAAGCGGCGGGCUCCAGUGCGGCUUAUAUAUGUAAACAUCAUUCAAUUUAGCUGCUGCGGCUUAUACUCUGGUGCGCCUUUAUAGUGCGGAAAAUACGGUAUUUAAGAUUUCAAAAAGCUAAAGCAAAUAUAAAAGUCUUGUUUUAAAAGUGGUCAGAGUUGGGGCAAGUCAGGGAGUUUGUUACAGCUAUUUGUUGCAUGGUAAAUAAAUACUGCUUUGCCAUGGUUCGUUUUUACUAUGGGGAUAAUUAACAGAUUGGUCUCAGAAGAUCUUAGUGUUCUAGAAGGCUUAUGUAGUGGAAUCAUCAGUUAAAUAUUUUGGCCCUAAACCAUGUGGGGAUUUAUAGGUUAGCAUUGCAACAUGAUUUUAAAAUCAAUUAUCUGACCUACAGGAGGCCAAUGUAACGAUUUAAGAAUUAGUGUAAUAUGUUCAAAUUUGUUGGUCUUUGUUAGGACUCUAGCAGCAGCAUUCUGAACAAGCUGAUGUUUCCUUCGUUUUUUUUGGGAGACCUGUAAGGAGACCAUUGCAGUAAUCAAGCUUACUAGUGAUAAAGGCAUGUACAAGUUUUUGUAAGUCUUCGGUUGACAUGAGCCCUCUAAGUCUUGUUGCAUUUUUAAGGUGAUAAUAUGCAGUUUUUCUAAAUGAUUUGAUGUGACUGUCGCAAUGUAAAUCUGAAUCCAUGAUAACCCCUAGAUUUCUGGCUUUGAUUGAGGUUUUCAGGGACAGAGAGUGAAGGUGUUUGGUUACUUUAAGCCUUUCCGUUUUAGUGAUACAAUUAUCUCAGUUUUGUCCUCAUUUAGUUGAAGGACAUUUCUGCACAUCCAGUCUUUGACUUGCUCAAUGCACUGGCACAGCAGAUCUAUGGGACGAUAGUCAGUUUGUGAUAGCGAUACAUAGAUUUGCGUGUCAUCGGCAUAGCAAUGAUGGUCAAUAUUGUUAUUUUGCAUGAUUUGCCCUAGUGGGAGCAUGUAGAUGUUGAAUACAGAGGGUCCCAAGAUUGAACCUUGUGGGACUCCACAUGUCAAGUUGGUUGAUUCCGAUACAAAGUCGCCAAUGGAAACAAAGUAGUUCUUAUUUUGUAGGUAGGACCUAAACCAAUUUAAGACUGCCUGAAAACCCCACCCAGUUUUCUUACCUGUCCAAAAGUAUUGCAGGGCUCCAAACAUGCCAACCAAAUAUUCACAUCUCUACCAAUUUUCACUGUAUUACUAAUAACUAUUUUGAUAAUGGAUGCAGAAAUUACAAUGUGCUGUUUCAAAUUCAGUGUCACAUUUUAUUGUGAUUCUCAUCUAUCCCAACGGUUUCCAUGUUUGAGCAUGCAUGCGUUCGACAAGUAUGGAAGCUACAGUUUCACGGGAGUGCGCCCGCUUGUCGUGCCGCUUGACAGGAUGCUGAGCCUCCUCUCUGCCCGCUCGCCUCUCCAUUGAGAAUGCAUUUUAUCAGGCCCGACAAACGCCUCCCGUGUGAAAAGCCCUUUAUGGCACCUGAAGCAGAGUCCUGCACUGGUUCGGGUGACCCGCACAAUUUGGAUGAAACAAGUUGGGUCGGACGCCUGAACAGCGCGGGUCGGGCGCGGGUUUUGCGAUUGCGGACUUUACCGGUGCUGGAUAUGUUAAUCAGGAGCGGAGGAGUCAACUAAAACCGUCAACAGUGGAUGAUGUGCUUUUUUUGCACAACAAUCUAAAGCACCAAGCCAAACACCAGAUAGUGUAAUUCCCAUCUAAUGUUUCUAAUUUUCCAUCGGGUGCGGGGCGGGUGUCGAUAUCAAUUUAUAGCGGGUCUGGUCGGGCUACUGUCGGAACACAGGUCGGAUGCGGUUUGCUAUAGUUUGCUUGCUCAUUGUAAACGCACGUAGCAGGUUGUGUGAAAUCUUUCUCCUUCGCACAGACGUUUAUGCGCGCUCGUUAAUCUGUAGGACCCUCCCCCUCGACACAUUAACCACUUACAGUGGCCAUUCCCUAUCCUUCUUACACUUAUUGGCCUGCUAAACAUUCCGGAUUCAUUGACGCGCCCCUUCCACGUUUCACGUGUAAAAAAAAAAAGGGCGUAAUUACUGGUGGAACAGAUGGAAAAUUCGGUCGCACCCUCUCAAAUUUUGGUCGCAAUAUGCGACCAUUUGGUCGCAGUCUGGACCCCUGUAUUGUAUGGUCUACAGUGUCGAAUGCAGCACUGAGGUCUAGUAGCGUUAGCAUUGAGGUUUUGCCAGAGUCUGUGUUAAGACGGAUGUCGCUUAAACUUUAAUAAGGAGAAUUUUUUUCGGUCUUGGUGCUGUAUAGGGUUUGAAAUCCUGAUUGGAAGGUGGUUUAGCAACCAGUUGAUGCCAGGAAAUGAAGUUGCUGGAGGACAACUUCCUCAAUGAUUUUACUUAUGAAGGGUAUCUAGGCUCCGCUUUUUUAAAAGGGGUUUAAUAACUGCAGUUAUUAAACAUUAAAGUUUUGUUACCACCCAAAAACGGCUGUGGGCAUCAGGGUUGGAGUACAACCAGGGUUGUUUAAGACGGUGUAUAUCAAAAUGCUGAGAGAACCAUUUUCAUCAGCCGCGAUGUGAAUAUGCUGCUUAUUCCGAUACAAUUGCACAGGUCAAAAAGACAAGAGAUGGCUCGACCUCUAUAGUCUAGUGAAGAAGACUGCGUCCUUUUCAUCCCCCUCUACCUAACUCUUGUUAAACAUUAUCAAAUGCAACCUUUUAUAUUUAUUGAGUCCUGCAGUGCAAGUUAUCGAUUGCUAGUAGCGCCGAUUAGGGAUGGGCAUGAUUAGCGGGUCUGGUCGGGCUAAUUGUUCCCCUUUUAGUAGCCUCUAAAAAACAGUACGUUUGUGGAAAGCUCAUUGUUGGACUGGCUCACAGUUCAAUUUCUUGAACGUCUUCAAAUGCUGUAUUAGGGGCCCACUAAUGCCGGUUUAAAAGCAUCCAUAAAGUAGCAUGCAAUGGGACCUCUAAUAACACCUGCAUAAGAGAUGUUCUCAAUCCCAUUCUUUAAUUUUUCUCUAAACUGGAAACAAACAACAAGUAAUAGAAAGGAUUUUCUCAGGUGGCACAUGAUUGUUUUUUUAAAGAUUAAGAAAAUAUAUAAAUGAUUUGGAGAUAAAACACAAUAGAAUCUAUGAACAAAUGUAGGGCUGCAAAUAACGAUUAUUUUAAUAAACGAUUAAUCGGUCGAUUAUUUUUUCGAUUAAUUGAUGAAUCGGAUAAAAAAAGAAACAUUUGUAAUUGCUGCAUCUUUAUCCAAAACAUUAAUUCAAAUUCACAGUGCAGGCUGAAGUGUAAAAACACCAGGUUAUUGCUCCAACGUCCCGGAACUAUUAAAAGUAAUAUUAAAUGAUAAAAAAAC